UGUGUAUUUUGUACCUGCUGGAUAAUAUUUUGAAACAUAUUUAAUUAAACAAAAAGCAUCUGUAUUACAGGUGUGACUGCUAAGUGGUCGUACUCGCCACUUUAACCAACCAUUGGUGGGACCAUGGUAGGACCUUCAGAGAUUAUAAUGCGAAUUUUUCAUACCAUGUAAAUCUAUAUACAUAUAUUAAUAAAUGCGUUUGUUUUA